CAGCCGCCGCGGUAAUACGAAGGGUGCAAGCGUUAAUCGGAAUUACUGGGCGUAAAGCGCGCGUAGGUGGUUUGGUAAGAUGGAUGUGAAAUCCCCGGGCUCAACCUGGGAACUGCAUCCAUAACUGCCUGACUAGAGUACGGUAGAGGGUGGUGGAAUUUCCUGUGUAGCGGUGAAAUGCGUAGAUAUAGGAAGGAACACCAGUGGCGAAGGCGACCACCUGGACUGAUACUGACACUGAGGUGCGAAAGCGUGGGGAGCAAACAGGAUUAGAGACCCCGGUAGUCCCUGUCUCUUAUAC
rnacentral:rRNA from 1 species